rnacentral:rRNA from 1 species
UGGUGGAGUGAUUUGUCUGCUUAAUUGCGAUAACGAACGAGACCUUAACCUGCUAAAUAGCCCGUAUUGCUUUGGCAGAACGCUGGCUUCUUAGAGGGACUAUCGGCUCAAGCCGAUGGAAGUUUGAGGCAAUAACA